rnacentral:RNase_P_RNA from 1 species
UGAGCAGAGCAGACGGUCGCGGCAGUCACAGUGCUGCUGAGGAAAGUCCGGGCUUCACAGGGCAGGAUGCCUGAUAACGUCAGGUGGAGGCGACUCCCAGGAAAGUGCAACAGAAAACGAACCGCCCGGGAUCUUCCCGGGUAAGGGUGAAAAGGCAGUGUAAGAGACUACCGCCGCGGUGGUAACACAGCGGGCAGUGUAAACCCCAUCCGAAGCAAGACCGAACAGAAACCCAUGGGGCGGCCCGUCCCGGUUUCGGGUUGGUCGCGUGUCCGGGUCGGAAGAUCCGGACGGAGCCUGUCGGUGACGGCAGGUCAAGAUAGAUGAUCGUCUGAUACAUAACCCGGCUUACAGCUCGGCUCAAAAA